UGGGGAAUAUUGCACAAUGGAGGGAACUCUGAUGCAGCGACGCCGCGUGAGUGAAGAAGUAUUUCGGUAUGUAAAGCUCUAUCAGUAGGGAAGAUAAUGACGGUACCUACAUAAGAAGCCCCGGCUAAAUACGUGCCAGCAGCCGCGGUAAUACGUAUGGGGCAAGCGUUAUCCGGAAUUAUUGGGUUUAAAGGGUGCGUAGGUUGCAAGGGAAGUCAGGGGUGAAAAGCUAUAGCUCAACUAUGGUCUUGCCUUUGAAACUCUCUAGCUAGAGUGUACUGGAGGUACGUGGAACGUGUGGUGUAGCGGUGAAAUGCAUAGAUAUCACACAGAACUCCGAUUGCGCAGGCAGCGUACUACAUUACAACUGACACUGAAGCACGAAAGCGUGGGUAUCAAACAGG
rnacentral:rRNA from 1 species